GUGCAGCAGCCGCGGUAAUACCGGCAGCCCGAGUGAUGGCCGAUCUUAUUGGGCCUAAAGCGUCCGUAGCUGGCUGAGCAAGUCCGUCGGGAAAUCCACGUGCUUAACACGUGGGCGACCGGCGGAAACUGUUCGGCUUGGGGCCGGAGGACCCGAGGGGUACGUCCGGGGUAGGAGUGAAAUCCUGUAAUCCUGGACGGACCGCCGAUGGCGAAAGCACUUCGAGAAAACGGAUCCGACAGUGAGGGACGAAAGCCAGGGUCUCCAACCGGAUUAGAUACCCGAUAGUCC
rnacentral:rRNA from 1 species